rnacentral:lncRNA from 1 species
CGCUCAUUACAGAGAAGGGGCCAUGAGGCAACGUCCCGUCUGCUUGUGGUUAAAUCUGCCACUGCUGUUAUUACUACUAUUAUUUUUCAGAAAGGCUAAGCAUGACUAAAACCUGGGUGUCACAAAGUCAAGACGCAUGAGGGCCAACUAUGCAAUGAUACACAGAGCCAGAAAAAACAAGUAAGCCACCUCCAAGAUUUUUUUUUUAGGAUUUUUUUUUUUUUUUUUUUUUUUUUUGUGAGUGAAAUUUGUAAAGCAAAGGAAAUAUCCUUCUAAUUAUUUGAUUUACAUUGAGGCAUUCAGCUUUCCAUUAUGUGAUGGGGUCAUGGGUUUUUCCUUAAAACAAAAAUUUUAAAAAUUGAGGAGUUGAGGGAAAAAUGGCUUUGUGUACAGCCCAUUAACUUCUGUGUGCUGAACACGCACCCGCUCCCAUGGAGCAAACAGAAGAACUUUUAUGCAGCAUCAGAGAGGACCAGCCUAGGACUUGCACGAACAGCACUAACUGAAUGAAGAUAUAUUUGAUUAACCACGGCGCCUUUUCCUGCUGGCCCCAAGGAAGGCCACCCUGCCUCCAUCUUGCAUUUGACAGGCGUCCCUCCCACAGCUCCUGGGGUUUCUCAGUGAGGGUCUUCUCCACCUCCACCACACAUGGGACUGCCACCACCACAGGGAGAGGCAGAGGAGAGGCUGCAAGAUGAACACCCUGACAGAGUGUUAGAGUUAGGGAGUGACACGGAGGAACUGACCUGCACACGGAGGGAGUUUUCCAGGCUGAAAUUCUGAUGCUCAAGGAAGCGUGAACAUCAGAGAUGCUGCUAGGUAAGUCUGACACAAAUUAUCCAGUCACACACACUACUCAGAAAUGUCUCAUUUCCUUUCUGGCUUUCACUGGGAAAAUAAGAACUAUGCAUCUUA